AGCGAACGCUGGCGGCAGGCUUAACACAUGCAAGUCGAGCGGGCACUUUCGGGUGUCAGCGGCGGACGGGUGCGUAACGCGUGGGAACGUGCCCUCUGGUUCGGAAUAACUCAGGGAAACUUGAGCUAAUACCGGAUACGCCCUUUUGGGGAAAGGCUUGCUGCCGGAGGAUCGGCCCGCGUCUGAUUAGCUAGUUGGUGUGGUAACGGCUCACCAAGGCGACGAUCAGUAGCUGGUCUGAGAGGAUGAUCAGCCACACUGGGACUGAGACACGGCCCAGACUCCUACGGGAGGCAGCAGUGGGGAAUAUUGGACAAUGGGCGCAAGCCUGAUCCAGCCAUGCCGCGUGAGUGAUGAAGGCCUUAGGGUUGUAAAGCUCUUUUAUCCGGGACGAUAAUGACGGUACCGGAGGAAUAAGCCCCGGCUAACUUCGUG
rnacentral:rRNA from 1 species